rnacentral:misc_RNA from 1 species
UAAAAUUAAAAAUCGGAAUGCGUUGCAUUGUCUUGUGACCUUUCCGGAAUUUGGGUUAUCUUAACCUUUUUUAGGUUAAGAGGCUUAAAAUUGAUAUCUUUUGCGCAUUUUUUAGACGUACAUAAAAAAUUAUUUUAUUCGCCUAUUUUUAAUGCCAAAAUUUAUUAGAUGCGACCACAAUGUAUAUGGUUACGUGUCUAUAAUUUUUUCAUG